GACGAACGCUGGCGGCGCGCCUAACACAUGCAAGUCGAACGAGCGAGCGAGAGCUUGCUUUCUCGAGCGAGUGGCGAACGGGUGAGUAACGCGUGAGGAACCUGCCUCAAAGAGGGGGACAACAGUUGGAAACGACUGCUAAUACCGCAUAAGCCCACGGCUCGGCAUCGAGCAGGGGGAAAAGGAGCAAUCCGCUUUGAGAUGGCCUCGCGUCCGAUUAGCUAGUUGGUGGGGUAACGGCCCACCAAGGCGACGAUCGGUAGCCGGACUGAGAGGUUGAACGGCCACAUUGGGACUGAGACACGGCCCAGACUCCUACGGGAGGCAGCAGUGGGGAAUAUUGCACAAUGGGGGAAACCCUGAUGCAGCGACGCCGCGUGGAGGAAGAAGGUCUUCGGAUUGUAAGCUCCUGUUGUGGGAGAAGAUAAUGACGGUACCCAACAAGGAAGUGACGGCUAACUACGUG
rnacentral:rRNA from 1 species